rnacentral:lncRNA from 1 species
GGAGCCGGGCCGCGCGGGGCUGAGGCCGGGCCGUAGGGGCACAGGCCCCGGCACGGCGGCGACGCGAGGCGCGGGGCUGCGCGCGGAGGCCCGGACGGCGCGGAGGUGAUGUGGGCCCCUGUGCUUCUACGGAAGAAAGGGACCCCCGCAGCGGCGGCGGCCACCGGGCCGGUCCUCUUGACAUCAGCCCUUAGGGACCUCGGGGCAGCCCUGACUCCCCAGCUCGCUGAAGUGCCCUUAAGGAUGCAGUGAUCAGUGUACGGGGCUCUCCCCGCGGGAGGGGCGCUGCCUGUGCUUCUGAACUCUGCUCAGAGAAAAACAAAAACAAAAAGAAAAAACAAAACCGAAAAACAAAACAAAACAAAAAAAGCCCCAGAAUGAUGCUGUCUGAGCAAGCCCAAAAGUGGUUUCCAACCCACGUGCAGGUCACAGUGCUCCAAGCUAAAGAUCUGAAGCCAAAAGGCAAAAGUGGCACCAAUGACACAUACACCAUAAUUCAGUUGGGCAAAGAGAAGUAUUCUACAUCUGUAGCGGAGAAAACCCUGGAGCCGGUCUGGAAGGAGGAGGCCUCUUUUGAGCUGCCUGGGUUGCUCAUGCAGGGUAAUCCGGAGAAAUACAUUCUUUUUCUUAUAGUGAUGCACAGGUCCCUGGUGGGACUGGAUAAGUUUUUAGGGCAGGUGGCAAUCAAUCUCAAUGACAUCUUUGAGGACAAACAAAGAAGGAAAACAGAGUAAGUGGUUUAGAUUAGAAUCAAAACAAGGAAAAAGAAUAAAAAACAGGGGUGAGAUAAAGGUCAAUAUUCAAUUUAUGAGGAACAACAUGACAGCAAGCAUGUUUGACUUGUCAAUGAAGGACAAGACGAGAUCACCUUUUGCAAAAUUAAAAGAUAAGAUGAAAGGCAGGAAAAGCGACGGGGUGUUUUCUGAUACGUCCUCUGCCAUCGUUCCGAGCACUCACAUGCCUGAUGCCAAUCCUGAGUUUUCAAGUGGUGAAAUGCAGAUGAAAUCCAAACCAAAAAAGCCUUUUCUUCUGGGUCCUCAGCGGCUCUCUUCUGCCCAUUCGAUGUCUGAUUUAACUGGGUCCCACUUAUCUUCUGAGAA